rnacentral:rRNA from 1 species
AGCGAACGCUGGCGGCAGGCUUAACACAUGCAAGUCGAGCGGGCACUUUCGGGUGUCAGCGGCGGACGGGUGCGUAACGCGUGGGAACGUGCCCUCUGGUUCGGAAUAACUCAGGGAAACUUGAGCUAAUACCGGAUACGCCCUUUUGGGGAAAGGCUUGCUGCCGGAGGAUCGGCCCGCGUCUGAUUAGCUAGUUGGUGAGGUAACGGCUCACCAAGGCGACGAUCAGUAGCUGGUCUGAGAGGAUGAUCAGCCACACUGGGACUGAGACACGGCCCAGACUCCUACGGGAGGCAGCAGUGGGGAAUAUUGGACAAGGGGCGCAAGCCUGAUCCAGCCAUGCCGCGUGAGUGAUGAGGGCCUUAGGGUUGUAAAGCUCUUUUAUCCGGGACGAUAAUGACGGUACCGGAGGAAUAAGCCCCGGCUAACUUCG